UUUCAGUGGACUUCUGGUGGCCUUGGAUGAUCAUAGCUGGAGCAGCAGUUGGAGGAGCAGUGCUACUUGCGCUCAUCAUUAUCGCAAUGAAAGUUUUUAAACGUCAAACAGUUGAUGAAGUAACCUAUGCAUCAGUUAUCCAUAGGUCACACAACUCCAAUGAGAGCAAUGAUCUUGUGCAUAAUAACCUCAUUAACUGCUCUACUGAGGACUAGGGUCGUGUCAGCUCAGAUACUGUCUUAUAUGCAACCGUCAAAGAGAGGACAUGAAAAGAACAACACAACAUCACAAUUAUUAAAAUUUCAGAUAAAAGUUGAACUGAAUCAGCCUGUUUUGUUCUACAGAUUUCUCUAUGCAUUACUGUUUAAUAUUGCAACACCUAGAUCUAAAAGGGUGAAUCAAACACUGGGGCUGCACAGGGAAAGGAGAAUUAAAGUUAUGCAACCUAUUGGCCUCAAAUUACACUUUUAUAUACAGAUUGUGGAAACAUAUGGAAAAACCUGACUGUAAUCAGAGAGUGAUCAGAGAGACUGAGAGUGCAUUCUCAUCAAUGCUAACAGACAGGUUGCAUGCAGUAUCAAGAUGAAGGUACAGAAUUUCUGUUUUAAAGUAUUGUUGGCUCAGCUGCAUUGAAUAGAGACUGUCUAGUAUGUAGUGUCUAAGAUGCAACCGCAUUACUUGAAUUAUCACCUACACCAUAAAUAGACAUGACCACAGAUGCAGUAGAAGCAAGAGUCAUAUCCUGUGCUUGUCUGUAUGUAUUAUGUUGACUCUUCUGUUCCGGUCCUGUUUCUACUCAUCAUUCCUAUUUUGUCUUUUUAGUUCAUUACCCUCUUUUGUAUAUAUAGCCCUCAAACUUUGGCAGGUCUUGGUUUGCGAGCAGUUAUGUUAGGGUUUUCAGUUGCACUCACUGUUUAUAGUGUUUUAGUUCUGUUCCUUGUUUUGUAGUGUUUUGUUUGUUGUGGUUAUCCUUAUUAAAAGUUCAUUUACAUUUGGA